rnacentral:rRNA from 1 species
UACAGGGGGUGCAAACGUUGCUCGGAAUCAUUGGGCGUAAAGCGCACGUAGGCGGUUUGUUAUGUCGGAUGUGAAAGCCCUUGGCUCAACUGAGGAACUGCCUUUGAAACUGUACGGCUUGAGGCCGGGAGGGGGUAGCGGAAUUCCCAGUGUAGCGGUGAAAUGCGUAGAUACUGGGAGGAACACCAGUGGCGAAGGCGGCUACCUGGACCGGUUCUGACGCUGAGGCGCGAAAGCGUGGGUAGCAAACAGG